rnacentral:lncRNA from 1 species
AUGUAUUUCUGUGAAAUAUCCAACUAGCUAACAAUUUUUUAAAAAUUAGAGAAUUCAUGCUCUAUCUCAGUGCAUUGACUUGGGCUAAGCCUUUACCUCUGCCUUUGUGUUUAUUUCAUUCCUGUAUAUAGCUCUUUUGCACAGAGUCACAAUGGUUUGAAGAAAUGUGCAGGAAAAAAACCUGACCUGUUGUUUCAUUUUUAAAUUUGCAGUAUGUUUCUUCAAUGUAGCUUACCUCAGAAAGUGUUUUAAUGUUUUGUUUUUUUUUUUUCUUUCUAGAAUCCUGUGAGCCCUGUGGCAUAGCAUUUAAGUGACUAUUUUGGUUUGACUAGCAUAGUUCGAGCUGAACCAGUUCUCACCGUAAUAUCCGGGCCAGAGGAUCUACCACCACAGAACCAUUCUAGAUGUCAAUUCCUGGUAAGAAAUGAUUGGGAGUUAACAGAAGAACCACAGAGAGGUAGAGUUUGCUAUGUUUAUAUUUGCAUUGAAGUUAUUUUAAAAUAUUAGUUUAUCCUCCUGCACAUACUAUUUUUAUUUUAUAGCAUACAUGGAAUCUAUAUGUUUGAUUCUAUAGCGUAAAUUCCUUUCUUCUCAAUCAGCCUUUUUGGCCGCUUUGUUAAAGAUCACAGUGUAGCCACAUGAAGGAAAACCACUCGAAUCUGGGUUAGUCCUAUCCAUGGUGACAGUUAUUACCUGACUGCCAGUGCUGGGAUUGGAUAGAUCAGGUAUAUAUAGCAGCCUGUCUUACAGAAUGGUGUCUGAACAGGACCAUUUCUGGUUCAAUGUAGCCUUCCUUGGUUUUAACCUGUAUCACAUGGGCUUGUCUAAAAGGAACAAUAUCCCUUAAUACUGAAAAUUUUCUAACACAGCAAUUGUCAAAUUAUCAUCGACAUACCCCUGGGGGUCCUGAUUAUCUUUAAAGGGUGUCUGCAAAGUCAGCAUGAUUUACCUAGUAAUCCUGACACGAAUUUGAGCUUUCAAAUGAAAUUAAAGUUUCAGAAAACUUUUAUCCACUACCUGAGAUUGAUAGCUUCUUAAUACUUAGAGAUUUUAUUAUGAAAUUGGGAAUGUUAACUAAUGCAAUUUAAAAAAUAUCAUAUGAUAAAAUGUGUCGAUAUUUGGAACAUCUGUAUAACUCAGUGAAUCAAUAUUGUCCAAAUAGCAAUGCAUGGGGUUACAAAAUUAUGCAUGGAUAAAAGCUCUAUUCAAAGUUCAAGACAGACCAAUGGAUUUUAAGUUAAGAGAGCA